rnacentral:rRNA from 1 species
AUACGUAGGGGGCGAGCGUUGUCCGGAUUUAUUGGGCGUAAAGAGCUCGUAGGCGGUUCAACAAGUCGGUCGUGAAAGUUCAGGGCUCAACCCUGAAAUGUCGAUCGAUACUGUUGUGACUAGGAUACGGUAGAGGUGAGUGGAAUUCCUAGUGUAGCGGUGGAAUGCGCAGAUAUUAGGAAGAACACCAGUGGCGAAGGCGGCCUUCUGGGCCAUAACUGACGCUGAGGAGCGAAAGCUAGGGGAGCAAACAGGAUUAGAUACCCUGGUAGUCCUAGGCCGUAAACGAUGGACACUAGGUGUGGGGGAGCAUUUCUUCCGUGCCGCAGCUAACGCAUUAAGUGUCCCGCCUGGGGAGUACGGCCGCAAGGCUAAAACUCAAAGGAAUUGACGGGGCCCGCACAAGCAGCGGAGCAUGUGGUUUAAUUCG